AACGAACGCUGGCGGCAUGCCUAACACAUGCAAGUCGAACGAGACCUUCGGGUCUAGUGGCGCACGGGUGCGUAACGCGUGGGAACCUGCCCUUAGGUUCGGAAUAACUCCCCGAAAGGGGUGCUAAUACCGGAUAAUGUCUUCGGACCAAAGAUUUAUCGCCUUUGGAUGGGCCCGCGUUGGAUUAGCUAGUUGGUAGGGUAAAAGCCUACCAAGGCGACGAUCCAUAGCUGGUCUGAGAGGAUGAUCAGCCACACUGGGACUGAGACACGGCCCAGACUCCUCCGGGAGGCAGCAGUGGGGAAUAUUGGACCAUGGGCGAAAGCCUGAUCCAGCACUGCCGCGUGAGUGAUGAAGGCCUUAGGGUUGUAAAGCUCUUUUACCCGGGAUGAUAAUGACAGUACCGGGAGAAUAAGCUCCGGCUAACUCCGUG
rnacentral:rRNA from 1 species